rnacentral:rRNA from 1 species
UGGGGAAUAUUGGACAAUGGACCAAGAGUCUGAUCCAGCAAUUCUGUGUGCACGAUGAAGUUUUUCGGAAUGUAAAGUGCUUUCAGUUGGGAAGAAAGAAAUGACGGUACCAACAGAAGAAGUGACGGCUAAAUACGUGCCAGCAGCCGCGGUAAUACGUAUGUCACGAGCGUUAUCCGGAUUUAUUGGGCGUAAAGCGCGUCUAGGUGGUUAUGUAAGUCUGAUGUGAAAAUGCAGGGCUCAACUCUGUAUUGCGUUGGAAACUGUAUAACUAGAGUACUGGAGAGGUAAGCGGAACUACAAGUGUAGAGGUGAAAUUCGUAGAUAUUUGUAGGAAUGCCGAUGGGGAAGCCAGCCUACUGGACAGAUACUGACGCUGAAGCGCGAAAGCGUGGGUAGCAAACAGGAUUAGAUACCCUGGUAGUCCACGCCGUAAACGAUGAUUACUAGGUGUUGGGGGUCGAACCUCAGCGCCCAAGCAAACGCGAUAAGUAAUCCGCCUGGGGAGUACGUACGCAAGUAUG